CUAUUAACCAAAUACCAGCGGUUGGUUUUGUUUGGAAUGAAACAGAAGGAUACAGCAUACUUACAGUUCACAGCUUGUUCUGGCACCUGGGCAGUGCAUGGUACUGUCUGUCCUCAGAGGACCUUUUGGAGAGGGGAGAAUCAAAAAAGCCCAUUCAGCUUAUCUGAAGAAGAUGAGAUGUGAUGUUUUCAAUUAACAACAUGGGAAUAACACUUACAGUCGUCACAAUAACUGCUUCCACAGCAGGGAAGAACAGCUGCAUCGGUCAUGAUGUCUUUACAAAUGAGA